rnacentral:lncRNA from 9 species
GGCCAGGCCGCUGGCCAGCCUCUCUGCGACCUGGACAAGCCUGGCCCGCUUGUUUCCCUACCUUAAAGGUCACAUCCCGCCACUGCCCUGGUCCAGUGUCCGAAAACCAUUGUUUCAUAUAUUUGUCUGGUUUUUUAGUUGGUGGAGGUAAGAACUUCAAGCUGGUGCCUCACGCUUCACAGCGGCCAGACGCAGAAAGCAGAAGUUUGUUGAGACGGUGACCCAGUUGUGCUGUUUAAACUUAUUUUUAUUGAACUCUUCAGCUGAAAGUACACGGAAGUCAUGACGAAGGCAAACAGGCCUUUUACCCCCCAAUUCUGUGAAAGCGCAGUUUAAAGAAGUCGUCAACUAAGUUGACUGGUAUUGAUCAUUGAUUAUAAAGACCUAAAAGUUGUUAUUAAAGACCUAAAGUGUUGGAUGCAACUUUGGAAAAAAUAUUAUACUGAUGAAACAAGAUCAUUUGCAGCUUCACUGAAGCAUCCACGAGCCCUUCCGAUGUUAAUCGUCCCGGGAUGGAAGGGGUGACUAGCCUUGCUGAUCAGAAGAUCUCAAUGCCCUGCCACGUGGAACGUGCAGUGUGAUCCACAGGCCGAAUCACAUGGACUCAGUACCUUCGCGGAAGCUACUGGAAAAUUCCUUUAAUUCUCCCUGCCGAACGUAGGAACAAGAAAAGACGUGAAACUGCAGCUGUGCUGGCUGUCUUGUCAUCACAAGCGUUUCCUGGCUUCAUCUUGCCAUCGUACUCUGGCGUCUAGUUACAGUGAGGAACCCCCGUCUGAGCCCAAGGGAGCCCAGCUUCGCUCUCUCAACAUCUCUUCCACCACUUCCCGGGGGCUAAGUGGGAAUUCACUCCAGACAGCAGUUCUGGCCCCAUCAGGGCACAACUCGCGUCUGGGCCAGAACUUCAUCUCUUCAUUGCAGAAAGUUAAGGAAAUCGUUGCUCAGCCAGGGAGCAAAGAUUGGCUCUGCAGCUGCUCUUUUAUGGAGCUGUUAACGCAGAGACACCAUUACUUAAAUGUAAUUUUUAGUAUUACAAUUAAAGACUGAUUUGAUUUUAUGAGAUCAUGCAUUUUUAUUUUAUGGACGUUUUUGUAGUUAAAUUCAAUUUAAAAGAUU